rnacentral:rRNA from 1 species
CUUGCUUCUCUUGAGAGCGGCGGACGGGUGAGUAAUGCCUAGGAAUCUGCCUGGUAGUGGGGGAUAACGUUCGGAAACGGACGCUAAUACCGCAUACGUCCUACGGGAGAAAGCAGGGGACCUUCGGGCCUUGCGCUAUCAGAUGAGCCUAGGUCGGAUUAGCUAGUUGGUGAGGUAAUGGCUCACCAAGGCGACGAUCCGUAACUGGUCUGAGAGGAUGAUCAGUCACACUGGAACUGAGACACGGUCCAGACUCCUACGGGAGGCAGCAGUGGGGAAUAUUGGACAAUGGGCGAAAGCCUGAUCCAGCCAUGCCGCGUGUGUGAAGAAGGUCUUCGGAUUGUAAAGCACUUUAAGUUGGGAGGAAGGGUUGUAGAUUAAUACUCUGCAAUUUUGACGUUACCGACAGAAUAAGCACCGGCUAACUCUGUGCCAGCAGCCGCGGUAAUACAGAGGGUGCAAGCGUUAAUCGGAAUUACUGGGCGUAAAGCGCGCGUAGGUGGUUUGUUAAGUUGGAUGUGAAAUCCCCGGGCUCAACCUGGGAACUGCAUUCAAAACUGACUGACUAGAGUAUGGUAGAGGGUGGUGGAAUUUCCUGUGUAGCGGUGAAAUGCGUAGAUAUAGGAAGGAACACCAGUGGCGAAGGCGACCACCUGGACUAAUACUGACACUGAGGUGCGAAAGCGUGGGGAGCAAACAGGAUUAGAUACCCUGGUAGUCCACGCCGUAAACGAUGUCAACUAGCCGUUGGAAGCCUUGAGCUUUUAGUGGCGCAGCUAAC